UCUAAGUACCCGGAGGAAGAGAAAACAAUUCAGUGAUUCCCUAAGUAGUGGCGAGCGAACGGGAAAGAGCCCAAACCACUUAUGUUACGGCAUAAGUGGGGUUGUAGGACUACGAUAUGAUUAUAAUGCAAUGAAGUGGAACAGGAUGGGAAGCCUGGCAGCAUAGAGUGAGAGCCUCGUACACGUAAGUACCAUUAGUCUAGUAGUAUCCUGAGUACCGCGAGGUCGGAGACGCCUUGUGGGAAUCUGCCGGCACCAUCCGGUAAGGCUAAAUACUCCUGAGAGACCGAUAGUGAACCAGUACCGUGAGGGAAAGGUGAAAAGAACCCCGGG
rnacentral:rRNA from 1 species